GUUUUUGUAGUUGAAUAACAACGGUGGUUUUUCAAGCCAUUGGUCUUGGUUAAAGUCCUGGUAAAAACU
rnacentral:tRNA from 1 species